GGAGCUGCAGGGAAGCAGACUGCAGUCACUACCUGGGAGAAGGGAGCUGUGUUUGCAGCUACAGUUACUCUCUGGGAGGAAGGAGUUGUGAAACUGGCAAACCUGGGGAAACCAGGAGGAGGCUCUGGAUGGAUCCUUAUAAAGCACCAUUCAUUCCAGUAUCUCAAAGCAGUUCUACAAACAUUGUUGAACCUCAUAACAUCCCAGUGAGCAGUAAGAAAAAUAGAAAGAGGACAUGGCUGGGAUUCUGUUGCAUUUACCUACUUACGAAUAUGGCAGUGCACCUGUAGACAUAGCUUCGUGAAGAGACAAC